UACGUAGGGUGCGAGCGUUGUCCGGAAUUAUUGGGCGUAAAGGGCUCGUAGGCGGUUUGUCGCGUCGGGAGUGAAAACCUUGGGCUUAACUCUGGGCUUGCUUUCGAUACGGGCAGACUAGAGGUAUGCAGGGGAGAACGGAAUUCCUGGUGUAGCGGUGAAAUGCGCAGAUAUCAGGAGGAACACCGGUGGCGAAGGCGGUUCUCUGGGCAUGAUCUGACGCUGAGGAGCGAAAGUGUGGGGAGCGAACAGG
rnacentral:rRNA from 1 species